GCUGAUCGGGGUCCGCUAGUAGGACGAUUAGUGUUGUGACGAUGAUCAAUGAGCCGGACGCACAGUGAUACCUAUCAUCUCCCAAAAAGUUGGCCAAAAUGCAGUCCUUAAGAUUGCCUUUUAAUUUGAGUCCCGUCGACAUUUAUGCGGAUAAUACUUGUGGAGACUUCGUUGGGACUUCCAAAAAUAAAGCUCGGGACAUAAAUUCACGAAGAUUUACAAUCUGUUUGUCAGCUGACGCAGCAAGAACUAGCAGAAGGUCGAACUCCGGCAGAACUUUCUUUCCCGAGCCAAGGAUACAGUGGAGCCUCCGUUAUCCGACUUGAAUAACGUGGCAUAAAUGUUCGGAUAAUGCAGCAAUGACUGAAUAACGGUUAACGGUCUUUUUAUCACGUUUCAAAGACUUUCGUGAUCAGUGUAUUUGUGUAAUUUACAAUUGUGGCACCAGAGGUUCGGACAAUCGAGUUCCUAGUGUACCAAAAAAUCCGCAACAAGUGCAGUUAAUCAAACAAUCAGAUCCAUGCCAGUAAUCGCCAAGAAACAAGCGAUUCACUGGCCUAUGAGUCAUUGUGGCGGCGCCACCGUAGCUUUAAUAGCCACGUAAACUGAAUAAGCCGUGUCAGGCCACGGCUUCUGACCUUGUGGCACGCGUUGCGACCAUCAACUAUCGGCGAGACCUUUCAGUGUCAUUUGCUUUCUUCGACUGCCUUCCAAAGCAUCCGAUGACUGAUCGAAGGGAACACCAGUUUGAAUCGUGCGUUUUGGGGGAUUUGUCGUGGACUUGCUGAUAUCAUUUAUCAAAAUUAGGUUAGACCAGGGUUAGUUCUAAGUCUAGCGAAGGCAGCAUAAAUGUGGCACAUCUGCGUUUUGGGGACUUUUCGUCGACGUGGACUUGCCAAUGCCAUUUUUCAAAAUUCGGUCGCCACUAGUUUUUGUUCUUGAACUUGGCCGCCACUUAUUAUUCGAUUAUUAGAUAUUAUAUUAUUAGAUAUUAUUGGAUAUCGCACACUGUCUCCAAAAUGAACACAAAUAAACAAAUAAAAUACAGUAA